GGUGGGAUCCGGGCCCCUCUGGCGUAUUCCGGACAUGCGUGAUGUCGGAUUCCCCUU
rfam:Rhizobium sp. LC145 LC145_contig1, whole genome shotgun sequence.